UCAACACUGUGGCUUUUGUAAGGGGCUGUCUCCCAUGUUCCCUUUAUCUCUCCGCUGGCGAGACAAGCUGCUUCCCAGCGGGGGAGCCCAGGGUACAAGCCUCCAGGAAUACCAAAGGACCUGGCCCUCAGGGGGUCCCCGCCUGGUUGCCCCUAGAAGAGCCAUCAAACCGGGCUAACUGGCCUCAGGAUUGAGGGGGAGUCUCAGAGAAGAUCUUUUGAGAGGACAUUGGAGACUCUCCCUAAUCCCAGGGUGCUUGCUGCUGCGCGGUUGUCGAUGCUGUUCCCGCCACCUAGGAUGUGCAAGGAGCAGCUGCUUAAAUAUGCCCUUGUUCAGUCAACAGGACCUCUGUGCUGACCUAACAGCCAUUUUGACACACAGAGAAAUAACAUACAUUUGCAUGGA